CAAGGAAUCUUCCGCAAUGGGGGCAACCCUGACGGAGCAACGCCGCGUGGGGGAUGACGCCCUUCGGGGUGUAAACCCCUUUUCUGCGGGAAGAAGGUGGGGCAACCCACUUGACGGUACCGGAGGAAGAAGGACCGGCUAACUACGUGCCAGCAGCCGCGGUAAUACGUAGGGUCCGAGCGUUGUCCGGAGUUACUGGGCGUAAAGCGCGCGCAGGCGGCGGUGCUGGCCCGGCGUGAAAGCCCCCGGCUCAACCGGGGAGGGUCGUCGGGGACCGCACCGCUUGAGGGCGGUAGGGGCUGGUGGAAUGCCUGGUGUAGUGGUGAAAUGCGUAGAGAUCAGGCGGAACACCCGUGGCGAAGGCGGCCAGCUGGGCCGUCCCUGACGCUGAGGCGCGAAGGCGUGGGGAGCGAACGGG
rnacentral:rRNA from 1 species